AUCCUUCGUCGAACAUAUGAAUAUAUAUAUAUAUAUAGACAUACUCAAACUAUUAUUAUUGUUAUCAAAAAACACUUCCGUAAACCCCAUGUCUACACCCGCUUAUCUUCUUUUUUAUCCAGUUUUCGUGUUUAUUCUCGAUUUUGCACGGCGUCAGCAUGUCCGAUCUACCUAAUUAUAUUUCCGACAAACAAAUUUUUAAAAUAGAAAAGAUGUCUGUUUUGGAAAGAAGAUACAGAUUCAUCGGAGUAGUGUCCAGUUACAUUCUGCUAAUCCCUAAACAAGCAGUGUCACUGUAUUGUGCAACAACCAAGUUCACUGGCCUGACAUCAAAACUCUUUACCAACAAGACGACGAUUAAGAGAACUUCUUCAUUGCCGCUUUGAUAUGUGCAACCAACUAAUUAUCACUAAUUAAAAUAUUCUUGUGAACCAAUAGUAGUGAUCUGUGAACUACACCUACGCCCACAGAAGACAAUCAAUUGAACAUAAAACGGUGGCAAGUGUUUAGGCGUCAUGCUGAUAAGUUUCGAAAAUUAAAUGUCAUCAAUUAGUUAAUAUCACAUAAUAAUUUAAUCUACCGAGGGCAAAUUCCAAAUGUGACAAUAGUUUUCUGUAUAAAUAUUUGUAAGCCCAUGUGACGACGUAGGUUAGUGAAUGACCCGUCAUUGGCAUCAUUCUUAAUUAUCUCGAAUCAUUGAUGUAACACGACUAUAACUCGAGUCUCUGGUAAACCUCAUUCUGUGCGGUUGGGGUAGGUUACUGAUGACAAAUCAACGAUCUUUGCCCUCAAUUUUCGUGGAAACUUUAAUUAGUUUGCGUAUAUUUUUUAAACAAAUUAUUUUUGGAGAUGCAAUAAAAUUUUUAAAAGGUUCUGCAAUAUUUUAAAAAUUCGAAACACCUGGAAAAUUUACCAUAUAAUUUGUGAAAAACUGUUUAUUUU
rnacentral:lncRNA from 1 species